AAAAAGACCCCCUUUUUUUUUUAUUACCAGCCCCAAUUUCAAACAAAAGAAUAGAGAGCUUCUCUGUUCUCUCCCCCUCCCCCUUUUCAGCUAGGAUUUCAAAAACUCAUCAUCGCCGUCGUUCACCAUGCCGAACGGAGAGGAGGACUCCGACGACACAGCCACGAGGUGGAUCCGGUCAUGGGAGUGUCAGACGCGUGGAAGGCCAGUGACUGGCGCCCCGAGCGGUGGUGGCGCACGUGAGAAGGCUGGUGGCUGAAGGCAUGCGGCUGACAACUUUGGUGGCUGCUGCAAUUUUUUUUUUACAUAGUGGGCUAUUAUUUGGGCUAGGGUUUGAUGUAAAUUGGGCUUGGGUAAUUUGGCUUUGGGUCAUUCAAUUGGGCCCGGGCAGAUUUGGGUCCCUACACGAACCAUGAACUUAACUUCUGACAUUUAGGGUGUUUGUAAAUAUGUAUGAUUGUCGAUUGAAUUUUAAUUCAGUUAGUAUUGUUGCCAGUAUAA